CCAAAUCUUUAUCGCUCUGCAAUAUCUUUUGUUGGGUAUCUACAUUAACCAAUAGAUAAGCAAACAAUCAGUAGAAGAAGGUAGUGGUAUUCAUUAUCCCCUUAAAUUAAAUUAACCCGAUGUCGCUUCCCACAUUCAUCCACUUAACUCUCCAAUAAUAAAAACAUUGCAUGAAAUGAGUUGAGCAGAAAACCUAACUCUCCAAAUUCAAUCAAUAUGACAAAAUUUGACACACUCAUCCAAUAACUUCUCCAAAAACAUUUUCUCAUAAUUCUGAAUACAGCCGACACAAAGUAUAACAACCCUACCGCUUAAAUGUAUGAAUACCAACAUAACAUCAUGCAAUAUUAAAUCUUUCUAGUCAAAUAUGGACUGCGGUUAUGCAUAAAACUAAGACCAUAAAGCAACAUAACAUUAAACAAAUCCUAAUUGCAUCAUAUCUAACAAUAACACAACUAAUCCGAGGUUUUCUCAACCACUACCAAUCCCCACAAAAAUCAUAUAACUAACAAAAUCCAAAAACAUUGAUAUGAUAUGAGCAAACAAUCAAAAAACAACAAUCAACAAAAAUCAUAUAAAUCCCUUUUCUAUUUCAAUUAAGUUUCUAAAUAAACCAGAAACCUAAGCUUCAAAAAACAACAAAAUUUAGAGAGAAAUAGAAGUUUUACCUUCGUUCUUGAUGAUGGAAAUGAAUAAAACGUCGAAAACAAAGAACAAGGGUAGUUUUGAGCGAACCGUCACAGUUCUGAUUAAUGGGGUUUUAGGGUUUGUUUAAAUGGAUUGGGAUUUUGGGUUUGAAGAAAUGGGUUUACGGAAGGAUAAAAUUGGAAGAAGAUUUGUAUGGAAGUUGAAGAGAAUGUUCCGAAGAAACCAUGAUAU
rnacentral:lncRNA from 1 species